rnacentral:rRNA from 1 species
UGGGGAAUUUUGCACAAUGGGGGAAACCCUGAUGCAGCGACGCCGCGUGAUUUAGAAGGCCUUCGGGUUGUAAAAAUCUUUUCUAUGGGAAGAAAAUGACAGUACCAUAGGAAUAAGGACCGGCUAAUUACGUGCCAGCAGCCGCGGUAAUACGUAAGGUCCGAGCGUUGUCCGGAAUCAUUGGGCGUAAAGGGUACGUAGGCGGGUAAGCAAGUUAGAAGUGAAAUCCUAUAGCUCAACUAUAGUAAGCUUUUAAAACUGCUCAUCUUGAGGUAGGGAAGGGAAAGUGGAAUUCCGAGUGUAGCGGUGAAAUGCGCAGAUAUUAGGAGGAAUACCGGUGGCGAAGGCGACUUUCUGGCCAUAACCUGACGCUGAGGUACGAAAGCGUGGGUAGCAAACAGG